rnacentral:rRNA from 1 species
AUUGAACGCUGGCGGCAGGCCUAACACAUGCAAUUCGAACGAGUGGCGGACGGGUGAGUAAUGUCUGGGAAACUGCCUGAUGGAGGGGGAUAACUACUGGAAACGGUAGCUAAUACCGCAUACCCUCAGUUGUCCCCAGAUGGGAUUAGCUAGUAGGUGGGGUAAAGGCUCACCUAGGCGCCGACCCCUAGCUGGUCUGAGAGGAUGACCAGCAACACUGGAACGGAGACACGGUCCAGACGCCUACGGGAGGCAGCAGUGGGGAAUAUUGCACAAUGGGCGCAAGCCUGAUGCAGCCAUGCCGCGUGUAUGAAGAAGGCCUUCGGGUUGUAAAGUACUUUCAGCGGGGAGGCGUUACCCGCAGAAGAAGCACCGGCUAACUCCGUGCCAGCAGCCGCGGUAAUAC